UACGGGGGGGGCAAGCGUUGUUCGGAAUUACUGGGCGUAAAGGGUUCGUAGGUGGCCUGCUAAGUCAGACGUGAAAUCCCUCAGCUCAACUGGGGAACUGCGUCUGAUACUGGUUGGCUUGAGUGCAGGAGAGGAACGCGGAAUUCCAGGUGUAGCGGUGAAAUGCGUAGAUAUCUGGAGGAACACCGGUGGCGAAGGCGGCGUUCUGGACUGCAACUGACGCUGAGGAACGAAAGCCAGGGGAGCAAACGGG
rnacentral:rRNA from 1 species